GACGAACCGUGCGAACGUUGUUCGGAAUCACUGGGCUUAAAGGGUGCGUAGGCGGGCGAUCAAGUCAGGGGUGAAAUCCUCCAGCUUAACUGGAGAACUGCCUUUGAUACUGGUCAUCUUGAGUGAGGUAGGGGCGUGCGGAACUGAUGGUGGAGCGGUGAAAUGUGUUGAUAUCAUCAGGAACUCCGGUGGCGAAAGCGGCGCGCUGGACCUUUACUGACGCUGAUGCACGAAGGCCAGGGGAGCAAACGGG
rnacentral:rRNA from 1 species